UGGAUAUCACUAAUUGUGUUCAGCACUGAAACACUUUAAAUUUUCAUUUCUAGUACAGUUUAAUUGUGCAGCUGAAAAACAUUAAAGUGUUUCAGUGCUGAACACAAUUAGUGAUAUC
rnacentral:pre_miRNA from 1 species